UACGUAGGGAGCAAGCGUUGUUCGGAUUUACUGGGCGUAAAGCGCACGUAGGCGGGUCGUUAAGUCGAGGGUGAAAUCCUGGAGCUCAACUCCAGAACUGCCUUCGAUACUGGCGACCUAGAGUCCGGAAGAGGUGAGUGGAACUCCUAGUGUAGAGGUGGAAUUCGUAGAUAUUAGGAAGAACACCAGUGGCGAAGGCGGCUCACUGGUCCGGUACUGACGCUGAUGUGCGAAAGCGUGGGGAGCAAACAGG
rnacentral:rRNA from 1 species